UAUUUUUUUAAGGAAAUGAGUGCAAUUUUUAGGCUUAAUUUGAGGAACCGUUUAGGCUAAAAAUUUGAGGAAAAAAGGCUUCAUAUUUAUUUUAAGAGAAUUGGUCCAAUUAUCUGGGUUUGAUUGAGUCACCUUCAUUUGAAUCUCAACAAUGGCUGUGGUCAGACGGCGUUUUGAAGGAGCAGACGAUCAGUGUAAAAUAUUAAGAGCAACUUCUGAGAUGACAAUGGAGCUUGUGGUGAAAGAAAAAAUGUCAAAAACCCUUGCUCUCCGAAGACAUGAGGUGGUUGAAUUGUGCCCAACUUGCAGAAUUUAAAGAUCACUGGCCUGCUCUGUUUGACAUUCUCCAGAUUAAUGAAGAGUUUAGGAGAAUUACUACUCUGCACCUUGAGCCAACAUUUAUUAAGAUGUUGGAUUACUACACUCCUAAACUUUUCACAAUAUUUUCCUGCAAAGGAGGAGCACUCGGACAGAUUUUGAAGAAGAAAACGGGUGCCAUACAGCAGACCUCACAUCAAAACAUAGAACAGACAAGAGAUGUUGUCCUCCGUUGCUUGGUCUAUUACUUGGGUGAAAAGGAGGAAGACCUCAUCCAGGAGUACAAUGUAAGUGUCUAAAACUAAUUCAGAUAUUUGUUUGCAGAAAACUGCAAUUAGCAUUUGUUUUCCUUUACAAAAAC